GGGGGCAUUGACUGCCUAAGGUUAAGCCCACAAAAAUGACUGCCUGAGGUUAAGCCAACAAAAGGGGGCAUUGACUGCCUAAGGUUAAGCCCACAAAAGGGGGGGGGGGCUGCGCAUUAAAUCUGUCUCUGAUAUUAGUACAGGUGAACAUUAGGGGAAUGACACGCUUUUGGGUUGUGGGAUAUCGAGGUUAAAAAAAAGGGGAUUUUUCAUAUUGGGGUGAAAAAGUGGGGAUGUGGGAUUUAGUUGGAUUCUUCAAUCUUUGUCUUGAUGACAGGAUAAUUCUCUUCUCUUGUUAAACGAUAUUUUCAGUUGUAAUUUCUCCUUAAUUUGUACUUCAGGGGGUUAAAUCUAAUUGAUGAUAUCAUGUCAGUCAGCUUUGAACAGCUAUCUUUUAUUUUAUGUUUAGCUUACACAUUUAUGACAUUACUACAAACUUGAGCUACAUGUAAACAAAUAUUUAAGAGUAAUAUUUCUACUGUGUAAUAAAUAAUACCAUUAUAAAAAUGAAAGAUUUUUUCCAUCAAUUGAAUAAUUUGAUAUGUUUUUAGGGAUACAGCAAGUUCCCAAGUUCUUAGUUAAUGAACAGUGAAAAUUGUUGAGGAGCUCAUUGGGGAAAAAAAAGAAAGUAACAAAGGAAAUGUACUUUUUCAAUAAGGAGAAGAAGUAAAAGCAGCAGGGAAAAUUGACAGAGUGAUACAUCUUCUAUGAAUAAAAAGAGGAAAUAAGUGUCUGCAUCAGUAAAUCAUUAUAACAACAAGACUGUGAAAAGAAGAUAUCAGAACAUGAAUUAUGAGUUUUAUUUCUUUUAAAAAGAAUUGUUACGGAAUAUACCUCUUGUGAUUCUAAUGAAAACCAUUGUCAACUUGAAGUAAAGGAAGAUUUUAUAAUUUAAUAGAACAGGAAAUAAAGGAAGACUCAUUUAGAGCAUAACAAAGCACAAUGUAUAUUUCUAAUUAGUCUGUUAAUUCAGAAUAACCCAUGUGAAGGAAUUAUAUUUUACAGUAAACAACAUACAAUACA